UGGGGAAUAUUGGACAAUGGGGGCAACCCUGAUCCAGCCAUGCCGCGUGAGGGAAGAAGGCCUUAGGGUUGUAAAGCUCUUUCGCACGCGAAGAUGAUGACGGUAGCGUGAGAAGAAGCCCCGGCUAACUCCGUGCCAGCAGCCGCGGUAAUACGGAGGGGGCUAGCGUUGUUCGGAAUUACUGGGCGUAAAGGGCGCGCAGGCGGCUGUGCCAGUCAGAUGUGAAAGCCCCGGGCUUAACCUGGGAACUGCAUUUGAUACUGCACGGCUUGAGGUCGGGAGAGGGUCGUGGAAUUCCCAGUGUAGAGGUGAAAUUCGUAGAUAUUGGGAAGAACACCAGUGGCGAAGGCGGCGACCUGGACCGAUACUGACGCUGAGGCGCGAAAGCGUGGGGAGCAAACA
rnacentral:rRNA from 1 species